AUUGAACGCUGGCGGCAUGCCUUACACAUGCAAGUCGAACGGCAGCAUGGAGAGCUUGCUCUCUGAUGGCGAGUGGCGAACGGGUGAGUAAUGCAUCGGAACGUACCGUGUAAUGGGGGAUAACGUAGCGAAAGUUACGCUAAUACCGCAUACGACCUGAGGGUGAAAGCAGGGGAUCGCAAGACCUUGCGUUAUACGAGCGGCCGAUGUCAGAUUAGCUAGUUGGUGAGGUAAAGGCUCACCAAGGCGACGAUCUGUAGCGGGUCUGAGAGGAUGGUCCGCCACACGGGGACUGAGACACGGCCCAGGCUCCUACGGGAGGCAGCAGUGGGGAAUUUUGGACAAUGGGGGCAACCCUGAUCCAGCCAUGCCGCGUGAGUGAAGAAGGCCUUCGGGUUGUAAAGCUCUUUCGGCCGGGAAGAAAUCGCACAGGCUAAUACUCUGUGUGGAUGACGGUACCGGCAUAAGAAGCACCGGCUAACUACGUGCCAGCCGCCGCCGUAA
rnacentral:rRNA from 1 species